UUAUCCACACAAACAAAAAAAUACACACACACAGACAAAACUCACACAUGAGUUCUCUCUCUCACAUAUUACCGGCAACCGGAGUCGGAAUCCGGCCGGUGCCGGCCGUCGCACACACCGCUCCUCCUCCAUCUCUAUCACUCACCCGUACCCCUUCUCUCUCUCUUCUUGAUCGGAGCUCCGAGGAGCUUCUCGGGCGAGCCACACACAACACGCCACCACCUACCUCCUUCCCUCGGUUCAUCUCCGACGAAGACCACCGGCGCCGUUUUUCACAGCGGCAGCCGGCGGUGGUUCUCCAACAAAAACACCCCCCCCCCCCACCUUCGACUCAGAAAUAGACCACCACCACCACGAACCGGUGGUGGUGGUGCGGCGGCGCUACAAUGAGAGACGGAGAGAGUGACUGAAAGAGAGAGAGAAAAACCGGCGGUCAGCUCAAUUAUCCGGCGGUCGGCUCAAUUAUCCGGCGGUUGGUCUACUUACCCAGUGGUCAAUGUCAAAAGUCCGGCGGUCCAAGACUUUAUCCGCCAAGUUUUCGAUUUGUUCGGGUCAACGGGUUUCGGUUCGGUCAACAAGUCAGCGGUUCGGGUCUCGGGAUUUGGUUCGGGUCAGAUUUGGAGCUUCGGGUCUUCGGUCUUUGUCCGACAAAACUCCGAUAAACUUCUGUUUCUUUUAUUUUUCCCAAAGCUCGAAGAAUGGAAGUGAUUUUUGUUGUUGCUGACAAUAUUCGGUUCAAACUCCGAUUGUUUGGGUUCAAAUUGGUUAUGGGAUCAGGCUUGGUCAGGACAAUCAACUGGACUCGGUCCAGGUCAAACAGUCAAAGGCAGCCAACGGGUCCACGGCUAGGUUCGGGUUCGUGACUCGGUUCGAUCGACUCGGUCAACCGAGUCAACUCGGUUAGCGAAGCGAGUCAACUCAACCGGUCAAACCAAGUCAACUCAGUUGAUCCGGUCAACUCAGUCAGCGGUUCAGUGUCCGACACGAAGACUUGGUAAAAAAAAUAAUCAAUGCGUUUAACAAUUAUGUUUUUUUUUUUUUUUGUUUUGUUAAAUACGCGAUAUCGAGCUCAAACCGAACGGAUUAGUAUUUAGUUUGUAUUUUGUCGCUUUUACUAAAGUUAUUUAUAUUGAUCAUUGAACAUUGAUUGAA